rnacentral:rRNA from 1 species
AACGAACGCUGGCGGCAUGCCUAACACAUGCAAGUCGAACGAGACCUUCGGGUCUAGUGGCGCACGUGUGCGUAACGCGUGGGAACCUGCCCUUAGGUUCGGAAUAACUCCCCGAAAGGGGUGCUAAUACCGGAUAAUGUCUUCGGACCAAAGAUUUAUCGCCUUUGGAUGGGCCCGCGUUGGAUUAGCUAGUUGGUAGGGUAAAAGCCUACCAAGGCGACGAUCCAUAGCUGGUCUGAGAGGAUGAUCAGCCACACUGGGACUGAGACACGGCCCAGACUCCUACGGGAGGCAGCAGUGGGGAAUAUUGGACAAUGGGCGAAAGCCUGAUCCAGCAAUGCCGCGGGAGUGAUGAAGGCCUUAGGGUUGUAAAGCUCUUUUACCCGGGAUGAUAAUGACAGUACCGGGAGAAGAAGCACCGGCUAACUCCGUG